GACGAACCGUGCGAACGUUGUUCGGAUUCACUGGGCUUAAAGGGCGCGUAGGCGGGCGGUCAAGUCGGGGGUGAAAUCUUUCAGCUUAACUGGAAAAGUGCCUCCGAUACUGAUCGCCUCGAGGGAGGGUAGGGGGAGCAACUGGGAAUUCUCGGGUGUAGCGGUGAAAUGCGUAGAUAUCGAGAGGGAACACCUGCGGCGAAGGCGGGUUGCUGGGCUGACACUGACGUGGAUGCGGCGAAAGCCUAGGGGAGCGAACGGG
rnacentral:rRNA from 1 species